rnacentral:rRNA from 2 species
GUUAAGCGACUAAGCGUACACGGUGGAUGCCCUGGCAGUCAGAGGCGAUGAAGGACGUGCUAAUCUGCGAUAAGCGUCGGUAAGGUGAUAUGAACCGUUAUAACCGGCGAUUUCCGAAUGGGGAAACCCAGUGUGUUUCGACACACUAUCAUUAACUGAAUCCAUAGGUUAAUGAGGCGAACCGGGGGAACUGAAACAUCUAAGUACCCCGAGGAAAAGAAAUCAACCGAGAUUCCCCCAGUAGCGGCGAGCGAACGGGGAGGAGCCCAGAGCCUGAAUCAGUGUGUGUGUUA